rnacentral:rRNA from 1 species
GUAUAAGAGACAGCAGUAGCCACGGGAAUACAGAGGGUGCGAGCGUUAAUCGGAUUUACUGGGCGUAAAGCGUGCGUAGGCGGCUUCUUAAGUCGGAUGUGAAAUCCCUGAGCUUAACUUAGGAAUUGCAUUCGAUACUGGGAAGCUAGAGUAUGGGAGAGGAUGGUAGAAUUCCAGGUGUAGCGGUGAAAUGCGUAGAGAUCUGGAGGAAUACCGAUGGCGAAGGCAGCCAUCUGGCCUAAUACUGACGCUGAGGUACGAAAGCAUGGGGAGCAAACAGGAUUAGAUACCCCCGUAGUCCCUGUCUCUUAUAC